rnacentral:rRNA from 1 species
UACGAAGGGUGCAAGCGUUAAUCGGAAUUACUGGGCGUAAAGCGUGCGUAGGCGGUUUGUUAAGUCCGUUGUGAAAGCCCUGGGCUCAACCUGGGAAUUGCAGUGGAUACUGGCAAGCUAGAGUCAGGUAGAGGGUGGUGGAAUUCCCGGUGUAGCGGUGAAAUGCGUAGAGAUCGGGAGGAACAUCUGUGGCGAAGGCGGCCACCUGGACCAUGACUGACGCUGAGGCACGAAAGCGUGGGGAGCAAACAGGG